GCAGGUGUGGCGGAAUGGCAGACGCACUAGACUUAGGAUCUAGCGCUUUACGGUGUAAGGGUUCAAGUCCCUUCACCUGCACCA
rnacentral:tRNA from 2 species